CAUUGACAAGUUGAUUGGCGAAAAUCACAACAAAUUGGAAUUGUAAUUUACAAGUAAAAUUAUUGAUUGUAUUGUUUCAAGGAGAGUACGACGACGAGUGCACCCAGCGACACAGGCGGACCUCUAAUCGGGUCCUUCGCAUUGACUGAACUGAAAAAAAAAGAAGUACUGGAGAGAGUUAAAAGAAAUGAAUAAAAAAAAAUAAAAAUGAUUGUAAUAAUGUUUUAUUUUCCGGUAACAUAUAUUUGGUAGUUAAUCUUCCAUGCGUGAUGCAGUGUUGGUUAUGGCAGCUCUAGCGAGUUAGUAGUUGUUUAAUUAUUUGAUUCUGAAACAAGAAAACAUAUAUGUUUAAAGUCUAAUAAAUUCAAAGUCAUAGGCACUUUGUACAAAGGAUGGCAUAAAAUUCAUAAGUUUUCUAAUGGUUAUAUGGGUGCAGUCAAUGCACCCACAUACAUUUGCCUGGAAUUACAUAUUUAUGAAAAAUGAGAAAUUAUUAAUGGCUUGUUUAACCUAAGUAAAUAAAGUGUUUAAAUUUAUUUUAAAUUAAAGGCUAAUGCUAUGUGGAUGAUA